rnacentral:rRNA from 1 species
GACGAACGCUGGCGGCGUGCCUAAUACAUGCAAGUAGAACGCACAGUUUAUACCGUAGCUUGCUACACCAUAAACUGUGAGUUGCGAACGGGUGAGUAACGCGUAGGUAACCUGCCUGGUAGCGGGGGAUAACUAUUGGAAACGAUAGCUAAUACCGCAUAAUAUUGAUUAUUGCAUGAUAAUUGAUUGAAAGAUGCUAUUGCAUCACUACCAGAUGGACCUGCGUUGUAUUAGCUAGUAGGUGAGGUAACGGCUCACCUAGGCGACGAUACAUAGCCGACCUGAGAGGGUGAUCGGCCACACUGGGACUGAGACACGGCCCAGACUCCUACGGGAGGCAGCAGUAGGGAAUCUUCGGCAAUGGACGAAGGUCUGACCGAGCAACGCCGCGUGAGUGAAGAAGGUUUUCGGAUCGUAAAGCUCUGUUGUAAGAGAAGAACGGGUGUGAGAGUGGAAAGUUCACACUGUGACGGUAUCUUACCAGAAAGGGACGGCUAACUACGUG